GUUAUGAGUAGGUCAAUAUAGAAUCGAUCACUUCUAGUAAGAGGAGAUCGUAUCCUGUGUAUUCUCAAUCAUAGAUGACUUGAAAAAAAUCUUUUGGCCAAAAGAAAAAAGGAGAUUAGAAAGAGUUUCUCUUUCUAAUACUUCUUCAUUAGAGUCAUCAUUGGUUAAUUGAGAAUUGAUAUGAAUAUGUAUUUAAGUUUGAUAUGAUUCUAUACUCAUGAACAUAUUCAAGGUGCAGGG
rnacentral:lncRNA from 1 species